UACGUAGGGGGCUAGCGUUGUCCGGAAUCAUUGGGCGUAAAGCGCGUGUAGGCGGUCCGGUAAGUCCGCUGUGAAAGUCGGGGGCUCAACCCUCGGAUGCCGGUGGAUACUGUCGGGCUUGAGUACGGAAGAGGCGAGUGGAAUUCCUGGUGUAGCGGUGAAAUGCGCAGAUAUCAGGAGGAACACCAAUUGCGAAGGCAGCUCGCUGGGACGUUACUGACGCUGAGACACGAAAGCCAGGGGAGCAAACGGG
rnacentral:rRNA from 1 species